rnacentral:lncRNA from 10 species
GGCCGUCACGUGGGGCAGCGUGGGCCGCUGCCUUGGAAACGCAGAGCGCGCGCUCCAGGGUCUUUUUGGAGUUCCUGAGCUCAGUGCCCCAGAAGGCACAUACUUCAUAUGAAAUAUGAAGGAUUUCAUACUGCACAAGAAAAAGCCUUGAGAAAGACAGAAUUGCUUGUGGACCGUGCGUGUUCCACCCCACCUGGGCCCCAGACCGUGCUGAUCCUUGAUGAGCUCUCGGAUUCCUUGUGCAGAGUGACCGACUUGAAAUCAGAAAAGGAAAAUCUGUGUCAGUGAAUUUCACUAUUCAAGUACAGUCAACCCCUCCAGAUUCGGGCAUCUGUAGAGUCAACCAA